AUAUAUUGCAUGUAAUUGUACAAAUCAACCUUGAAAGGAUGAAAAUUGAUAUUAUCUCGAAUUCUUGGAUGCACCAUUGUAUUAUUUGGCGGCAACGUUAGAUAUUCAUCUUUCAACAUUACAAUACCCCGCAAUACAUUGUUGAAAUGUCUGCUGAUUGUUUUCCCUGAAUGUUGGAAUGUUUCAGCAAGCACUCUAUUAGCCACACCAUGACCUACGCCAAAUAAAAAUAUUGCUAGUUGUUAAUCAGCAGUCAUGUAU
rnacentral:lncRNA from 1 species